AGGUUUCCGGAAGAAGAUGCAGAAGCAGGGGAAAAAAAGAACAAUGAAAUCCUCCUUUCAUGGACCAGGUCUGUCCUAAAUCAUAUGUGGUUUUCCUGUGCAACCAGUAAGGGGGACAUGAAGAAGGAUUCUGUGGCAUUCAAGACCUGCCACCGCUGGUCCUUGACAAAAGGCUUCUGAGAGACAUGGAAAAGAUGGCCCUGUUCAAACAUACUGGCUGCUGGAAGUCUUUCACAGCGCACUUUUGAAAUACCUCCCCAAUGUUAGUUCCUGCACUACAAUGGUACCACACUGCCCAUAGCUGUACAUAUCUUAUCUGUAUGGUUCUUGCUGAAUAUGAAUAUUUA